rnacentral:rRNA from 1 species
GAUCUUGGUUCAGGACGAACGCUGGCGGCGUGCUUAACACAUGCAAGUCGAACGGAGAUGUUAGCAAUAGCAUCUUAGUGGCGGACGGGUGAGUAACGCGUGGGCAACUUGCCUCGGACUGGGGGAUAACACAGGGAAACUUGUGCUAAUACCGCAUAACAUCGAGAGGGACAUCCUCUUUCGAUCAAAGGAGUAAUCCGGUUUGAGAUGGGCCCGCGUCCGAUUAGCUAGUUGGUGAUGUAAUGGACCACCAAGGCGACGAUCGGUAGCCGAACUGAGAGGUUGAUCGGCCACAUUGGGACUGAGACACGGCCCAGACUCCUACGGGAGGCAGCAGUGGGGAAUAUUGCACAAUGGGGGAAACCCUGAUGCAAGCAACGCCGCGUGAAGGAUGAAGGUUUUCGGAUUGUAAGCUUCUUUGAUGAGGGACGAAUAAUGACGGUACCUCAAAAACAAGCCACGGCUAACUACGUGCCAGCAGCAGC